GUUCAACAGAAUAACCUGAAUUAGAUGGAAAUUGUGACUUUUAAAAGAUGCAACAUUAAGAGACAUUCCAUGAGACAGAGCAACUCUGCUGUACUAGAAACAGGGCAAGUUCUUCUAACUCCAAAGUUAUGUUGGUGAUAUGUGCUUAUUUCCCCCAGUUAGAUUACCAUUAAUAGUGAAAUAAAAAUAAACCUUCAAUAGAUUGUUUUUCCUUAAUAUGCACACCCACACACAACAAUCCUUUUUAAAUAUGCAAGUGUAUUCUCAUUAGAAAAUGAGAAUGCUAUGUGAAAAAACUGACAAAACUUCCAGGAAUGUUCUUAAACUUUGGCCAAUUUCUCUAGCAAGGAUUCCUUUUAUCUGAAAGGCACAAACAAUGAAGAGGCACUAUGGAUACAGUGGAAAGUUGGGAGAUUAUAGAGUUUUAGCUUUUAGUUUGCUACUAUUCCAUCUAUCUAUCAAUUCAUUCUCUGUCCUUCAACAGACAUAUAUUGAGUACCUACUAUGUGCCAGGCACUUUGCUGUGCAGAGCAGUGAACCAGGUAGGCAUGGAAAUUACAUUCGAGAGAAGAUAGACAAUAAACAAAAGAAAAGAAGAAGACAAGUAUAGCUUGUAAUAAAUGUCAUAUGGAAAUAAACUGGAUGAGAGAGAAUAAUGGGUAGGGAGAAAGGAGCAGAAAAUACUUUAGUUUGACCAGGGAGGCAUUAUAUAUCUACCUAUGUAGUAUCAGGCAAAUCACUGAACUUUUCCGAUACUCAGAUCUCCAGGAUGAAAAACUAAGGUUGAACUGGAUGACAUCAGAGUGGAAAAAGCCCUGCCUGGAUUUGGAGGAAGAAAACUUAAGUUUGAGUUCUGGCUUUGUUUGUAAAACUAUACCUGCAGCACUGUCUCCCUGAUGAAAGAUACUAGUGGUUGUCUCUUCCUUCAACGUUUGAAGGCUCCACUGAGAUAAUUUUGAGAACCUUCACUUGAUGGCCUUCCGUGGACAUCUUGGACAAACAAGUAUGCUCACUGAGCCCUUCUGUUCAUUCAUUGAUGGAACAUUAUGGAAACACAACUGAUUUUUUUU